rnacentral:miRNA from 1 species
UGAUGUUAUUUGUGGUAUAAA